rnacentral:rRNA from 1 species
CGAAAGCCUGACGCAGCGACGCCGCGUGGGGGAAGAAUGCCUUCGGGUCGUAAACCCUUUCCCAGGGACGAAUAAUGACGGUACCUGGGGAAUAAGCAUCGGCCAACUACGUGCCAGCAGCCGCGGUAAUACGUAGGAUGCUAGCGUUAUCCGGAUUUAUUGGGCGUAAAGCGAGUGCAGGCGGCUUGGUAAGUCGGUUGUAAAAUCUCCUGGCUUAACUAGGAGGGACCAUUCGAUACUGCCAGGCUAGAGUGCAUCAGGUAGAAGAUGGAAUUCCCGGUGUAGUGGUGAAAUGCGUUAGAUAUCGGGAGGAACACCAGUGGCGAAGGCGGUCUUCUAGGAUGCUACUGACGCUGAGGCUCGAAAGCGUGGGGAGCGAACAGGAUCAGAUACCCUGGUAGUCCACGCCGUAAACUAUGAGUGCUAAGUGUUAGGGGGUUUCCGCCCCUUAGUGCUGCAGCUAACGCAUUAAGCACUCCGCCUGGGGAGUACGGUCGCAAGACUG